rnacentral:tRNA from 1 species
GCCCCCGUAGCUCAGUGGAUAGAGCAGUGGUUUCCUAAACCACGUGCGCAUGUUCGAUUCAUGCCGGGGGCA